CCUACGGGUGGCAGCAGUGGGGAAUAUUGGACAAUGGGGGCAACCCUGAUCCAGCCAUGCCGCGUGUGUGAAGAAGGCCCUCGGGUUGUAAAGCACUUUCAGUGAGGAAGAACGCCUGGUGGUUAAUACCCAUCAGGAAAGACAUCACUCACAGAAGAAGCACCGGCUAACUCCGUGCCAGCAGCCGCGGUAAUACGGAGGGUGCGAGCGUUAAUCGGAAUUACUGGGCGUAAAGCGCGCGUAGGUGGCUUGAUAAGCCGGUUGUGAAAGCCCCGGGCUCAACCUGGGAACGGCAUCCGGAACUGUCAAGCUAGAGUGCAGGAGAGGAAGGUAGAAUUCCCGGUGUAGCGGUGAAAUGCGUAGAGAUCGGGAGGAAUAACAGUGGCGAAGGCGGCCUUCUGGACUGACACUGACACUGAGGUGCGAAAGCGUGGGUAGCAAACAGGAUUAGAUACCCUAGUAGUC
rnacentral:rRNA from 1 species